rnacentral:rRNA from 1 species
GACGAACGCUGGCGGCGUGCUUAACACAUGCAAGUCGAACGGCAAGGCCCUGCUUUUGUGGGGUGCUCGAGUGGCGAACGGGUGAGUAACACGUGAGUAACCUGCCCUUGACUUUGGGAUAACUUCAGGAAACUGGGGCUAAUACCGGAUAGGAGCUCCUGCUGCAUGGUGGGGGUUGGAUAGUUUCGGCGGUUGGGGAUGGACUCGCGGCUUAUCAGCUUGUUGGUGGGGUAGUGGCUUACCAAGGCUUUGACGGGUAGCCGGCCUGAGAGGGUGACCGGCCACAUUGGGACUGAGUUACGGCCCAGACGCCUACGGGAGGCAGCAGUGGGGAAUAUUGCACAAUGGGCGGAAGCCUGAUGCAGCAACGCCGCGUGCGGGAUGACGGCCUUCGGGUUGUAAACCGCUUUCGCCUGUGACGAAGCGUGAGUGACGGUAAUGGGUAAAGAAGCACCGGCUAACUACGUG